UGGCGGACGGGUGAGUAAUACAUCGGAAUCUACUUUUUCGUGGGGGAUAACGUAGGGAAACUUACGCUAAUACCGCAUACGACCUACGGGUGAAAGCAGGGGAUCUUCGGACCUUGCGCGAUUGAAUGAGCCGAUGUCGGAUUAGCUAGUUGGCGGGGUAAAGGCCCACCAAGGCGACGAUCCGUAGCUGGUCUGAGAGGAUGAUCAGCCACACUGGAACUGAGACACGGUCCAGACUCCUACGGGAGGCAGCAGUGGGGAAUAUUGGACAAUGGGCGCAAGCCUGAUCCAGCCAUACCGCGUGGGUGAAGAAGGCCUUCGGGUUGUAAAGCCCUUUUGUUGGGAAAGAAAUCCAGCUGGCUAAUACCCGGUUGGGAUGACGGUACCCAAAGAAUAAGCACCGGCUAACUUCGUGCCAGCAGCCGCGGUAAU
rnacentral:rRNA from 1 species